GUAACCCAAGUCUAGUCCAUGCACAAAGCAUCCUUGCUAUAUGGGCUGUCCAAGUUAUCUUAAUGGGUGCUGUUGAGGGUUACCGUAUUGCUGGUGGACCUCUCGGUGAGGUGGUUGACCCACUCUACCCAGGUGGCAGCUUUGACCCCUUGGGCCUUGCCGAAGAUCCCGAGGCUUUUGCAGAGUUGAAGGUGAAAGAACUAAAAAAUGGUAGGUUAGCUAUGUUCUCUAUGUUUGGAUUUUUCGUUCAAGCCAUUGUGACUGGAAAGGGACCUAUCGAGAACCUCGCCGACCACCUUGCUGACCCGGUUAACAACAAUGCUUGGGCCUACGCCACAAACUUUGCCCCCGGAAAAUAAGCAAUAACUACACCAAAUGAGAAGUGAAUGACUUGAAUAUCGAAGUUUGAAUUUGUUAGUGUGUUAUAUUUUGUAAAACGCAUGGCAUGUUACAUCUUUUUUUCCCCUAAGUUUGUACAUAUUAAGUGAAUGAAAUGAAUGGUUUUACCGAAACAAGGGAGAGUGAAAUGACUGUGAAUGGUAUCAAGCAAUCUAUUACCAGAACAUCAAGUGUAACGAUGUCCUUUCAAAAAAAAAUAAAAAAAAAUCAAGUGUAACGAUGUUUUAAACCAGUGAAGUUUUUAUCAUAUUAACUUUUCAUAUUUUAUAAUUAUAUUUUAUUUUAAAGAGGAGCCUACACAACGGUAAAAGUUGAUUAAAAAUGUCACGAGUUCAAGUUCUGAAAAUAGUCUCUUGUGUAAAAAUAGAAUAAGACUGUGUGCAAUACACCAGAUGGUGAGACCCUUUCUCGGACUCUACGUAUGUGGUUGCCUUGUGCACCAGACUGUUUCUUUGUUUGCUACAAUUAUAUUUUAUUUUGUUAACCUUUUACAUGCCAUAUAUCUUUAGCUCAAUAUGAGAUCUUGUAAUGCCGUUUGAGCUGAAUUAUGGUUUCCCCGUAUGGAAAUCACCCAAGAUCUAAAUCAUAGCAAGUAGGAAUUUGAGAUGGACUCCAAAGUUGAUAUUGAUAUGGUUAAUUUAAAUCCUACCGAAUUGCUUUUAUUCAACAUUUCCUACAUGAGAUCGUUGCUAUUCUGAACCUCCCUUCAAGGAGAAGUUUCAUCUGUUAUAUUUAUAAAGAAACAAAUAAAUAUGUAGAUCUCCUAUGCUAAUAAGAGGCACACUACAAGAGUUGGUGUACAUUAUGUUUUUCUCAUGCUCAGAUUUUGAUGUAGACAAGUUGGCAGCGCGAAUCGAAGACGAAGUGGCGCGUAAGAAAGGUUUAGUCGGAUUGGUGCUGAUUUAGCAUCCGACGUCGGAAUAACAUGAAUUAAACCUUUUUGAAAAGCCCCGGACCUCACGAGCAAUACUCAUCGCUUUGUCAUGAUGUAGGAGUUAAUUUAAUCAUUCGAGGUCGUCUGAAGGCCCGAAAACCGCGUUUUAAUACUUCAGCAUAUUCUAGAACUUUAUAUUUUAUUUCGUUUUGUUAUUUUUCAGCAUAUACGGGUUUGUUAUUUCAUUUAGUAUUUAAACAGAACUUAUGUAGCCAAAGAGGCACUUUUCAUUCAAUAAAAAUAUUCGAGACUUUUCUCUCAAUUCUGGUGGAUUUUGGAAACUCUUAUUUGAUAGGUUUAUCGCUUACAACCUGUUGUUAUCUUUUAAGUUUAGCGUUUGCUAACCCUUGCUUCCAUUUUGCGUCAGAUUUUUGUUACUAUAUGAUGCCAAAGGUGGCUGUAUCUCUAAUAAGCUUUCGUAGUUUAAUUUCCUUUCCUAUCAAAUAAUAAAAAAUGUAACGAUCACCAAUAAACCAUGAAUGAAUAGAGCAAUUCUUGCUUGGGCACAACCACAAAUAUAAAUAAUUUAGACACACACAUAAAAAAAAACAGACACCCACACACACGCGCAUAUAUAUAUAUCAUUGAUUAUUUUCAAAAAUAUAUUAUUUUAUUGAUUUUUCUUUUAUAUGUUUUCACUUAUGUGUGUCCAAAUCAAAAUGAUAUGGGGUUAUGAUGGGUAUUUGUAUUGGCUGCAUUAUUGCUAAUACAAAUAUCCAUGUUUGUGAUGUUCGAUACUAUGUUCCAAUAUGUAUAUUAAUAAUUCUAAUAAUAUGCAAUAAAAGUAAUGUAUAUUAAAAAAUUACAUUGUACUAAUAUGUAUAUUCUAUGAUUGUUUCAUCUCCUAUUUGAUUACACAACCCAAUUAUCACAAUCUUCAUAGCAGAAAAGACAGUUUAAGUGAAUUGAGUACCAGAAGCUCGUCAUGAUCAAGAGAGCGUUGAGUGUACAUGCAAAUUAUCCACCGACAAGGUUCUUACAUUGGCAACAUAAGUUAAACUUAGGUUCUUAUGGUUUGUGAAUCAACUCCUAGACCAAUCGACAUCGACAAUUUUUUUAGUCGUUUAGAAUCAUAUAAAUUUUCAAUUUAAUUUGAUUAGUAAAAAAUAAAUAAUUGUAUGUAUAAGCAAUGACAUAUUAUUAUUUAAAUUUUAAAGCAUGCUUACCAAAUAAAUAUAAAAAAGAUCAUGCAUAUUUGUAACAACUUUCCAAAGAUACAAUCAAAUGAUGUGUUAGUCUACUGGAUAUAUUACUUUUAAGGGUUAAAUAUGUUUUUAGUCUCUAUAAAUAUACCAACUUUUCCUUUUAGUCAUUCUAAAAUUUUCGUUCAACUUUUAGUCCCUAUAAAAUUUUCAAUCACUACUUAUAGUCCCUAUUUUUAAAUUAAUUUUAGUAUUUUUUAAUGAAAUUGUGCAGAAAUGUGUAGAAUAUUGUAAAAAUAUUUCCCAAAAAAAUUAGAAUUUUUUAACGAAACAUAAAUUUAAUAUGAAUUUUUAACCAUCAAAAAUAUAAAAAUUCAUAAUAAAUUCAUGUUUUGUUGAAAAAUUCUAAAUUUUUUUAGGAGAGAUACUUAAAAUAUUAUGAAUUUUUCUGCAAACUUUUAUUCAAAAAUGUGAAUUCUACAUAUGAAUUUACUUUAAAAGAGGGACCACAAGUGAAGAUGGAAAAUUUUUGGAGGACUAAAAGUUGAAGGAAAAUUUUAGAGGGACUAAAACGAAAAGUUGGUAUAUUUAUAGGGACCAAAAACAUAUUUAACCUUACUUUUAAUAAUGACAUGGGGGAUCCCUUUCAUUUUUGUUCUAAUAAUAGUAACAAUAAUAUGUUAUAAUAGCAGAAAAAACAAAAACAAAGUAACAUUGCACCACGUUUUGACGGUAGAUUGAAAAUGCAGGUUCAAAGAGAAAUAUUGAGAAAUCACUUGAACCCCCUCACACAAGAGUGGCUUCGCCACUGAUCACAGUGGCUGUGAUUGGUUGUAGGAUAGUGAGAUGAGAUCUUAGAUCUAGAAGUUCUUAGGUUGAAAUCAAUACGGGUAGGUCCUAGGUCUUAAGUGUAAACGAGGAUUUUGCUGAGAGCUUUAGAAUAAGAACUACACUAGUGGAUUACUUUCCUAACUUGGUAGCCCCAGAUGUAGGUGAGUUGUGCCGAACUGAGUUAACAAACUCUUCUUUACUUUCUUGUCUUUUAUUUUGCUGUUUUGUUUAUGUUUACUUCUAGCACGAUGUUGGAACAUUAAACGGAACAUGUGCUUUCUGUGCAUCUCGAGUUGAAACUUCACAUAGAACAACUUCUAACUGACACGCUAAAUAUUCAGCAUCCGUUAUAUUUGCCGGGAAUUUCAAGUUAUGACCAAACAAGUCUUACUCGAAUGAAUAAGGAUCACACCAAUCAGAAAAAUAAUAUAAUAAAGACAAACAACAAUUAAGACAAAAAAAAGACAAACAACAAUAUCUUAAUAAAAUUAGAUGUUGAUAUUAUGCUAUUUGAAGGACGAGUUUGAACUUUAUUUUAGAAAAUGUGGAAGGUCCAGUAAAUAAAUAUAUCAUGAAAGGUGGAUAUAAAAUAUCUCUGUGAGCUUGAUUCUCUUGGUAGUGAUAUUAUAUAUUAUAUGCAGAGUCAUCGAACCUCGGACACCCUGGUCACUUCUCCACAUUUAAAAUGUAUGAGCUCCGGUCACUAUACUAUUUGACAAAAAAAAAUAAUGCUUGAAAAAUUUAUUAGAAUGUUUACCACUUCAGCCCACAUUAAGUUCAAUCUAGUUAACCAAAAAAAUAUAAAUAUUCUUGAAGCAUGUUAAAAUCAUGUGAUACAAAUCAAUUUGAUUAUAUCAAGAUGAUGUUGAGAUAAUUUAUAUUAACACGACUCGCCUAUUAGCAAAAAUAUUUUGGUUUCGAUUUAUACAAUCGUCCAUUUGAGAGAUGGUUCGACUCUCAAGACAAAAAGUAAGAUAGCUUGCAACGAACUUGGUAAGUAGUCAUGUAGCGCUUUCAAAUGCGGGUGGUAUCCAUUGGAGAGCCAAAUACUUUUGUUAUAGUAACAUCACUGCGGAUUUUAUUAGUCAUAUACAUGGAUUUAAUUAUUUAUCUUGUUAUUUUUAAACAUAUAAUAAGAUCAGUUUAUUUAAAUUUAUUUCUUUAUCUCAUUAUUUUCAUUUUUAUUUUACAAGACAUAUUUCACAAUGCACUAAAGCAAAAUCUCAAUAUACUUUUUCACAUUGCAUGCAUUGCAACUAAAUUUUUGCACAUGAUAAAAAAAUAGAGUGAAACUACUUGAUUAGUUAGCUAAAACAAGAGAGCAUCUAUUGAAUGUUUUAUUUUGCAUUUCUUCCCACAUCCUUUUGUGUCCAUUUUGCAUUGCUUCCAAAAAUAAACGGUAAAAUAUGGUAUAAUGACAUAAUUUUAGGAUAAAUGUUUUUUUAUCUAUUGAGCCAAAGAAAAAAGAAAUAUUCUUUGUCCUUUUGAUGCAACACAAAUUAACUAGCAAUGGUACCAAUAUGCACUAUGGUCCCUCUUCUUCAACUCAUGAUUUUAUACCGUUAUGUAUGAAUUUGUACAUUAUUGAUUAGCCUAUCCAGAAAUCUAAUUUGACAAAUUUUAUUGGAUGGAAGACGUAUUUAAUGAUAUUAUCAUUACAUACUUUGGAUAUUUGAUAUAUUUUAUAAUGAAAGAAAAUAAUAUCUUAAAGAUAUGUGGUUUGAGAAAUAAAGGAAAUACUACAAACCAAUAGAAACUUAGAUAUGGAUUUCACAAGAUAUAGACCUUUAGUUUUACUCGAUGAUAACCAAAUAUAAAUAGCCAUAUAACCAAAUUUGAUAACCAUUCUCAACAUUGCCAAUUGAGCUUCAUUACUUUACUUAGUAAGCAAAAAAAUACCACAAUGGCUGCUUCAACAAUGUCCCUCUCUUCUUCAUCAUUUGUCGGGAAGGCAAUCAAACUUUCCCCAUCCACUCAAGACAUUGGGGUGGGAAGAGUCACAAUGAGGAAAACAACCACCAAGAAGUCCGUUCCGUCUGGAAGCCCAUGGUACGGUCCAGACCGUGUGAAGUACUUGGGCCCAUUCUCCGGUGAAGCCCCAUCCUACCUCACAGGUGAAUUCCCUGGUGACUACGGUUGGGACACUGCUGGACUUUCUGCUGACCCAGAGACAUUUGCCAAGAACCGUGAACUCGAGGUCAUCCACAGUAGAUGGGCUAUGUUGGGUGCCUUGGGAUGUGUCUUCCCUGAGCUCUUAUCUCGCAAUGGUGUACAAUUCGGUGAGGCCGUGUGGUUCAAGGCAGGAUCCCAAAUCUUUAGUGAGGGUGGACUUGACUACUUGGGUAACCCAAGUCUAGUCCAUGCACAAAGCAUCCUUGCUAUAUGGGCAGUCCAAGUUAUCUUAAUGGGCGCCGUGGAGGGUUACCGUAUUGCUGGUGGACCUCUAGGCGAGGUAGUCGAUCCACUCUACCCAGGUGGCAGCUUUGACCCCUUGGGCCUUGCCGAAGAUCCCGAGGCUUUUGCAGAGUUGAAGGUGAAAGAACUAAAAAAUGGUAGGUUAGCUAUGUUCUCUAUGUUUGGAUUCUUCGUUCAGGCCAUUGUCACCGGAAAGGGACCUAUUGAGAACCUCGCUGACCACCUUGCUGAUCCAGUUAACAACAAUGCUUGGGCCUAUGCCACAAACUUUGCCCCUGGAAAAUAAGCAAUAACUACACCAAAUGAGAAGUAGUGAAUGACUUGAAUAUCAAACUUUGAAUUUGUUAUUGUGUUAUAUGUUGAAAAACGUAUGGCGCAUUACAUCUUUUUUUCUUCUUCCUAAGUUUGUACAAAUUAUGUGAAUGAAAUGAAUGGUUUUACUAAAACAAGGGAGAGAGCAAUGAAUGUGAACGGUGAUCAUGCAAGCUAUAUAUCAACACUUUGUCAAUUAUAAUGAAUUACCAAACUAUUGUGUAAUUGAUUCUUCAUAAAUUAAUUAAGUGAAUGAAAUGAAUGGUUUCUUUGUUUUUUGUUUCCCUCACGUUGUCUUCUAAAACCACUUAUGAAUUCGAAACUAACAAAAUAAAGUAACAUCAUAUUGUGGGUUCCAUGUUUGGCAAUCACCCAAGAUAUAAAUCUUAAUAAGGUGGAAUUUGCAAUGCACUCCAUAGUUGGUGUUGAUAUAGUGCCAGAGGUGGUUGUACGAUCUAAGCUGAUUUCAUAGUUUAAUUUCUUUUCCUAUAAAAAAAUUGUAAGGAUCACCAGUAACCCAUGAAUGAAUUGAGCAACACUCUUUGGUCACAUACACAAAAAACUUGACCUUCAAUGACAAUAAAGUUUUGUAGGUAAAAGUCCUUAUACCGUAGGUAUAGCCCACAUACCUAAAACUUUACUUUUAAUGACAGUAAAUUUCUUUAGGUUAAAAUCUUUUUACCGUAUGUAUAGUCCCAAGUACCUAUACCCACAUAUUUUUAAGUUAAAAUUAAGCUCUAUUCCUAUAUCUAAAAUCCUAGGUAAAACAAAAGGUUUUGUUUAACAAGUAAAAUCUGUCACUUUUAGACUAUAGCGACGACCAAAAAUAUGUGGGUUUAAGUACUUGCGGUUAUACCUACGAUAAAAGGACAAUUAACUACGAAAAUUACCGUUACUAAAAUUACUAUCACUUUAGACUUAGUUUAUUUUCUUUUUUCUUUUUUCCCUUAUGUGUGCCCAAAUACAAAUGAUCAGGAUUUCGACCAAACAAGUUUUACUCGAAUGGUUAAGGAUCACCAAUCUUCGAACACAAAAUAUAAUAAUAAAGUCAAACAACAAUAUUUUGAUAUGCUAUUUGAAGGGCGAGUUUGAAUUUUAUGUUAGAAAAUGUGAAAGGUCCAUUAAAAAUGGAAAUCAUGGAAGGUAUCUAUAAAUAAAUGCUUGAAAAAUCUAUUAGAAUGUUCACCGGUUCAACCCAAAUAACUUUUAAUCUAUUUAACAAAAUAAAAUAUAAAUAUUCUUAAAGCGAGUUAAAAUUAGGUGAUACAAAUCUAUUUUAAAAUGUCAAGAUGAUGUUGAGUGAAUUAAUAUUAACUGACUCGCUGACUCGCUUUAAGAAUAUCUCGGUUUUGAUUUAUAAAAUCAUCCAUAUAAGGGAUAGUUCAACUCUUUAGACAAAAAAUAAGAUAGCUUGCAACGAACUUGGUAAUUAGUCUCAUAGCGCAUCCAAAUGUCGUAACUCAUAAGGUCACCAAGAUACAUGCAAAGUUCAUUGGAGAGCCAAAUACUUUUGUGAUAGUGAAUUGGCAAAAAAUUCAAGUCUAAUGUAUCAGUAUAUACUUAUUUUUAAAUCUCAAGAUAAUUUUUCACAUUGCAAAACAAAGAGCGUGGAUUAGAUGGUUAUAGCUUCCAACAUCCUUGUGUGUCUAUUUUGCAUUGCUUCCAAACAUAAACUGUAGAAUAUGGUAUAAUGACAUUUAGUAAAAAAAAUGGUAUAAUGACAUAAAAUUAGGAUAAAUGUGUUUUUAUCCAUGGAGCCAAAAAAGAAAUAUUCUUUGUCCAUUUGAUGCAACACACACCACAAAUUAACUAGCAAUGGGACCAAUAUGUAAUGUGGUCCCUCUUCUACAACAUAUAAUUAUAUACCGUUAUAUGCAUGAAUUUGUACGUUAUUGAUCAUCCUAUCCAGAAAUUACAAUUGGCAAACUCUUAUUGGAUGAAAAAGAUAUUUAAUGAUAUUAUUAUAUAUUAUUGUGGAUAUUUGAUAUGUUUGGGAAAGGAAGAAAAUAAUUUUUAAAGUGAUAUGUGGUUUGAGAAGCAACUGUAAUGCUCAAAACCAAUAGAAAGUUAGAUACAUAGAUUUCAUAAGAUAUGGACAUUUAAUUUAUCUUGUUGAAAACAACAUAUAAAUAACACCAUACCAUAACACAUUCAAUAUAGCCAUCAUCAACAUUGCCAAUAAAGAUAUUUAUUUGUUUACUUAGUAAACACUAAAAUUCUACCAUGGCUGCUUCAACAAUGUCUCUCUCUUCUUCAUCAUUGGUUGGGAAGGCAAUCAAGCUUUCCCCCUCUACUCCAGACCUUGUCAUGGGAAGAAUUACCAUGAGGAAAACAACCACCAAGAAGAAUGUUCCUUCUGGAAGCCCAUGGUACGGUCCAGACCGUGUCAAGUACUUGGGUCCAUUCUCUGGUGAAGCUCCAUCUUACCUUACUGGUGAAUUUCCCGGUGACUAUGGAUGGGACACUGCUGGACUUUCUGCUGAUCCGGAGACCUUCUCUAAAAACCGUGAACUAGAGGUCAUUCACAGUAGGUGGGCUAUGUUGGGAGCCUUGGGAUGUGUCUUCCCUGAGCUCUUGGCUCGCAAUGGUGUUAAAUUCGGUGAGGCCGUGUGGUUCAAGGCAGGAUCUCAAAUCUUUAGUGAGGGUGGACUUGACUACUUGGGAAAUCCAAGUCUAGUCCAUGCACAAAGCAUCCUUGCUAUAUGGGCUGUCCAAGUUAUCUUAAUGGGUGCUGUUGAGGGUUAUCGUAUUGCAGGUGGACCUCUCGGUGAGGUUGUCGACCCACUCUACCCAGGUGGUAGUUUUGACCCAUUAGGCCUAGCUGAUGACCCAGAGGCUUUUGCAGAGUUAAAGGUGAAAGAACUCAAAAAUGGAAGGUUAGCUAUGUUUUCCAUGUUUGGAUUCUUUGUUCAAGCUAUUGUAACCGGAAAAGGACCUAUAGAGAAUCUUGCUGACCACCUUGCUGACCCAGUUAACAACAAUGCAUGGGCCUAUGCCACAAACUUUGCCCCUGGAAAGUGAGCCAAAACUACACCAUACCAAUGAGAAGUGAUUUCUGAAGCAAACAAUGAGAAUUCAUAUGCUUUGAGAAACAUAUGGUGCAUUUAGAUUUUUUUAAUUCUUUCAAGUUUGUACUUUUUAAGAGAGUGAAAUGAAUGUGAUUAUGUGAAUGAUGAUCAUGCAUAUUAUCAACACUGUAGCAGACCUAAUGAAAUGCCAAAGUAUUGUGCAGUUGAUUCUUCCAAAAUUCUAAGUCACUUGUGAUUGCAUCUAUUAUUGUCUGCAUUAUUGAUAAGUAUAAGAAAUCAAUUGUAAUUUUUCAAUCAAAUAAUAGGUGUAUCAAUGUAAAUAUAAAAUAAAAAAAUGUCUAAUUUAGUUUUAGUUUUUGUGUGUGUAGAAUAUAGAGACAGUAAGUGAUUUUAAAAAUGCUAUAACUUUUGCUAAAAACACUGCCAUUCAAUAUAAAAUCUAGAUUUCUUUAAAAAUGAAACAUUUCAAUAUUUUUUUUUUUUACCAUGUUAUAAGUACGAAAGUGAUUAAUCUCUAAAGGUUGUCAAAAUCGGGACUUUACUUCAGGUCGAAAAGGGAAUAGCAAAAUCAGGACUCGUAAAAUCGCAAUCAAAAUCGUAGGAAUUUACUCAACUACUCUUGUAGAAUAGAUAUAAGAAAUUGUAAAAUCGCAAUCAAAAUCGAUGAGUUUUACCAAAACAAAAAUAAUGCUAAAAACAUAGACCAAAACAUAAAUGACUCAGAUUAAAGUCCACAAAAUACUUAAACAUAAAUGACUAAAAAAAUGGAAAAAAUUCUUCAAAACCCUUUAACAUCAUGCAAUUUUGUUUGAAAUCUUAAAAUCGCGAUGGAUUUGAGUCGUUGAAGGUGAAGAAAGUCGCGAAAUUCUGGAUUUUAGAAUUUAAGUCGGAAUUUUGAAAACACCAAAAAUACAUAAGAUAUGUUCUCUCUUUUCAUCCGAAUUUUCUCUAUCGAACUUGUGAGCACUUGUUUAAAGAGUCCAAAAUUCUUACAAUUUGAAUCAAUCCACUACUAGUAAUAUUUGUUUCUUAUACAUAUCAACCAAUUACUUCAUUUUAAGAGAACUUGGUUUACAAUGUGGGAAGGAAUUUCCUAGACACAACAAAUCAUGAGUACAAAGCUUCCCAAUUCUUCUUGAAUAAGUUUUUUGAGCGGUGGAAAACUUAUGUUAAAGACUUGAUAUUUUUCAAAUGCAUGCAUGUUUUGCUCAUAUAAUAAUGUUACAAUUUUCAUAGUUGUUGUAUAUAUAAAGUAGUUUUUCAAAACUUAAAUUUAUAAAAUUUAAUAAAGAUCAACAUUGUGUCAAUAAAAAUUAAAUAUCAAUUACUUUAAAACUAGUCUUGGAAUUAUUUUAGGUCUCAAUUGAUAUUUAGGUUGGCCCUGGCAUCUCUAUUAACCGAUGAUGUGAAUAAUUAAUUGCAUAAUGUGGCCGUGAUUGAAUUCUCUCAAGUGUGAAUUUGAGUAAAGUGUGAUCUCUAAUCAUCCAUAUUUCUAAUAUCUUAAUUUUUCAUGUGUUUCUCUCUAACAAGAUAUCAUACUUGACAUCUUUUGUGAAAAUCACCUAGGAGAGGAUCCAUUUUCAAUGUGACAUUGCAGCUUAAAAAUGUCUGAAAUUAGUUAUGUCUACCACUCAAGAUAUAUAUUCUGUUAUAGUUGAGUCAGUUUAGAACGAGCCGGAUUGGUCAGUUCAAUUGGUUGAACCGAAAACUAAAUUGAAUCGUGCUUCGAUUGCAGUUGGCUCAACCAGUUCAACUGAUCGAUUGAACCAAUUUAACCAUGACUUGAGAGAAUCACAUGGUUGACUUUCAUUUCGGUUUUUAAAUUAUUGAGUUGAAUUUUGGCUGCUGUUAACUAGUAACUCCAUUUAUUUAUUUUUUUACUUAGUUAUAAUAAAAAAAAAAAAUAACUCAGGCAUUACAUAAAAUUUAAAUUAAGUUUUCACAAGACAGUUUAGCAAAGCAAAAUUAUUAGAUAUCCUUAUCAGUAGAAAGUACAAUAGCUAACUACGUACGGACAUGUGUAUUUUGCAGUGAUUACAAUAAAUACAUAAGUAGAAUAAAUUUGUUUUGUUCAUUUGAUGCAAACAGAAGAAACUAUUAAUGGGACCAGUGCACUGUGUGGUCCCUUUUCUGUAAAUCUAUUGAUUAUUAUCCCAUCAAGUAAUCAUAAAUGACAAUUUCUUAUUGGAUGGAACAAGUUUUUCAUGAUAUUCAAUUGUCAUAUUCUGGAUAUUUGAUAUUUUUUGAAAUAAUAAUUCUGAAGAGAAAUAUAUGUGGUUUGAGAUGUAAGUGUAAUGCUCCAAACCAAUAGAAAAUCAAGAUAUAGAUUUCAUAAGAUAUGGACCUCUAGUUUUUCUUGAUGAAUUAACAUAUAAAUAGUACCACUAGGACAUAACAAAGCAUCAUCAAUAACCAUCCUCUUCAUUUUCAAUAGAGCUAUUUAUUUGCAUUUAACUAAGUUGCAAAUAAAAUACUAGAAUGGCUACAUCAACAAUGGCUCUCUCUUCUUCAACAAUGGUUGGGAAGGCAAUCAAGCUUUCCCCUUCCACUCCAGACCUUGUGAUGGGAAGAAUCACCAUGAGGAAAACAACCAACAAGAAGAACGUCCCUUCUGGAAGCCCGUGGUACGGUCCAGAUCGUGUCAAAUACUUGGGUCCAUUCUCUGGUGAAGCUCCAUCUUAUCUCACUGGUGAAUUUCCUGGUGACUAUGGUUGGGACACUGCUGGGCUUUCUGCUGACCCAGAGACAUUUGCCAAGAACCGUGAACUCGAGGUCAUCCACAGUAGAUGGGCUAUGUUAGGAGCUUUGGGAUGUGUCUUCCCCGAGCUCUUGUCUCGCAAUGGUGUGAAAUUCGGCGAGGCUGUGUGGUUCAAGGCAGGAUCUCAAAUCUUUAGUGAGGGAGGACUUGACUACUUGGGUAACCCAAGCCUAGUCCACGCACAAAGUAUCCUUGCUAUAUGGGCUGUCCAAGUUAUCUUAAUGGGAGCUGUUGAGGGUUACCGUAUUGCCGGUGGACCUCUUGGUGAGGUAGUCGACCCACUCUACCCAGGUGGAAGCUUUGACCCAUUGGGCCUCGCUGACGACCCAGAGGCUUUUGCAGAGUUAAAGGUGAAAGAACUUAAGAAUGGUAGGCUAGCUAUGUUCUCUAUGUUUGGAUUCUUCGUUCAGGCCAUUGUAACCGGAAAGGGACCUCUAGAGAACCUUGCCGACCAUAUCACUGACCCCGUCAACAACAACGCUUGGGCCUUUGCCACAAACUUUGUCCCCGGAAAGUGAGCAAAAACUUCAUAAAAACUAUGUUAAGUUACUAGCUCAUACAAGAGUGCGAAUUUCGUGUUAUUAAUUUAGUGAAAUAUUCGGUGCAUUUAGAUCUUUCUUCAAGUUUGUGCCAAUUUAGC
rnacentral:lncRNA from 1 species